CAGCAAGUACUUUCUUCGAUAUUGUAUUGCAUCAGUUAUUUAUUUAUUUAUUUUUAAAUUUUUUGUAUUUUAAGUUUUCCUACGAGUUUUACAUUGUAUAUGGUGGAAGGAUAGAAACUUCUUUAGCACGUUCUUGGUUUUAAUUGGUUUUGGUAUAUGGAUGUACAACUUUGGGAAAUAGGAAAUCUUUUCGUCUUUAAGUUUCUUUUGCAAUUUGUUCUUCUUUUUUUUUUUUUUUUUUUCCUAGAAAAAAAAAUCUUUAAUAUGGCUAAGUGUCUUCUAAGUUUUGUUUCGUUUUCAACUUUUGGGUUGUUUGACUUUAAAAAAAAUAAAUAAAUAAAUAAGCAAAAGAAAAGCUGAGGAUGAGCUAAAGAAUGCUGUAGAUGUAAAGCGGAAUAAGAGAGAAAAAAAGAUUGAAACGAAGAGGAAAAAGAGAGCUGCUCAGUAAAAGAAGGUUGAAACAAAGAAACAGAAGAAGAAAGAAGAGUCUAGUUCUGAGGAGUUUGAUGAAUCUGAGUACAAGGAAGAGAAGGUAAAGUUUAUGGAUUAUAUUAAUAUUAUUAAUAAUCAGUGUUCUUUUAUUUUUUGGAGUUUUGGCUGUGAUUUUGUAGUUCUUCAUUACAUGCCCAUGAAAAUGUUUAGUGAUUGGAAAUUAGGUCUUGACAAUAUUAACCUUUUUUUUUUUCUUCUUUUAAAGUUAAUUUAUGUGUUCUGUACCUAAGAUAUUAUUUGUGAAAAUGCUGCCGGAAUUUAUUUUUUUAAUUAUGAGAUAAAGCUAUAUAUAUAUUUUUUAAUAAUUACGUGGGUUAAAAAAGGCCCUUUAAAUCCAUUUCACAAAGUCUUGCUGAAAUAUCUAGUCUUGUAUUAAAUCCAGAACCGUGCUGCCAAAUCUGUAGUUCCUCCAAAUAAAUCUAUUCAUUGCUAAAAAUGGUACAGCCAAAAAGUGGUUGUCAUCUAGAGAUGAAAAAUCUGAGGAGGUUGAAGUAAGUAAACAGUUUGUUUUAUUAUGUGAGAUUACCAAAUUCCUGAUACUCGUUGGCUUUCCUAAAUAAUUUAACUAUAGUUAGUGUAUUUGAUUAACUUAUUUUGCUGUAGAACUCUGAUGCCAAAGCUAUGGUGCCUACAGAAAAGAAUCCCGAUCCUUUUGAUUAUUCUGAUUCUGGCUGUUCUAGUACAUCUGAUAUGGAUUCUUUUGAUAUACGUUCGGAUUAUUCGUGUGAAACUUAUCCUGAUGAUGUUGAAUCCUCAGAGGAUGAACCUGUGAGUACUAUAGAUACUAUUUGUAGUCUAAUUGAGUGAUGCAUUAGUAUUGAAUGAUUAUGUAAUUGCUUCUAUUAGUUAUUGACAAUGCUGAAGCUGAGAAUAGUUACCUGUUGCUCCUCAAACCACUUCUCCGAAGACAGUGUCUGUAGGAAACUUUUCAUUUAGUAUUGAUAAAGCUGAUGUGUGAGUAUAUUCUACUAUUACUACUAUUAAAUUCUAUUUUCAAGGUGACUUCAAUCUGAUAAAAUUACCUGCAGGAAAAUUUUAUUCAAAAAUGCUGGUGAAGUUGUCGAAGUUCAUCUCCUAACAAAUGAGGUAGAAGUGUUCAGGGGCUUUGGACAUGUCAAGUUUGCUGCUGAUUCUAGCUGCAAAGAAGGUAAAGAUUUGUUGGGUUGUGCUGUGAGACUUGAUAUUGCCCAUAAACAUUUUUCAUUUCUUUUCUAGGUUCUGUAGCAUUGUCUAAGCUGCUGAAAUAUCUAGUCUUGUGUUGAUUCCAGAAGCCUGCUGCCAAAUCUGUAGUUCCAACAGCUAUGGUGCCUACAGAAAAGAAUCCUUAUCCUUUUGAUUAUUCUGAUUCUGGUUGUUCCACAUCUGAUGUGGAUUAUUUUGAUUUACGUUCGGCUAUUUAUGUGAAACUGAUCCUGUUGUUGUUGACUCCUCAUAUGAUGAACAUCUUCUGAAGAAAACAACUGAAGUCAACUAGCCAACUUAAGAAUCUUGCUUCUGCUGAUUGUGAUUCUGAUUCUGAUGAGGAUGAUGCUUUUGAUGCGUCGUAUGCAGAUUUUUGGGGUGAAACUGAUACUGAUGGUUUUGACUCCUCAGAUGAUGAGUCCGAAUCAGAGAUAAGUCUUGCAAGGGAGAAGAUAAGGAAGCACGAGAUCCUACUUCUCAUUCCGCAAACACCUGUUACUCCCGCAAACCACUUCUUCGAAUACAUUAUUUGUAGGCAACUUGUUAGUUAGUAUUGAACAAGAUGAUCUGUGAGUAUAUUCUACUAUUAAUUAUUAAAUACUAUUUUCAAGAUGACUUCAAUCCGAUAAAAUUAUGCGGGCGAAGUUGUUGAGGUUCGUUUCUCAACAAAUAAUAAAGGAGCGUUCAGGGUCUUUGCACAUGUCGAGUUUGCAACUGCUGAAGCUGCAAAGAAGGCACUAAAUUUGAAUGCCAAAGAUUUGUUGGGUCGUGCUGUGAGACUUGAUAUUGCUUGUGAAAGCUGGGACCAUAUAACAGCUAGAUCUGGUAUGCACUCGAUCAACAAUGUUAUCCAUGAAGCACGGGACACCUGUUUUCUUCCUCUUUUUGUCUGUAAAUUAUCUGAAAUUCUUGGAGAUAAUGCAAGUGGUGGUUCAAGACUUAAAUUACUCUUUAAUAGUCUAAACUCCACUCAUAUUGUGGGGUUUCAAUACAUUGUGGUGUAUAUUUUUAAUAUCCGUACAAUGUGGUCUAGAGAUUUUUUGCUGUCCUAUUGACUAGCUUACGAAUUAAGACUCUUCUUUGGUGUGCCAAGUCAAACCGUUG